rnacentral:tRNA from 9 species
GCAUGUAAGCCAGGGAUAAGCUAGGCGGGCCUGUAAAGCCCUACCUCGAUGGUUCGAAUCCGUCUACAUGCA